AAAGAAGGAAGGAAGAAAGAAACCAAAACAAAAAAUAAAACUGUAUCUCAGAUCUGAAUAGUUGGAUUCUGGGCUGAUAGUCUUUAAAAUAAUAAAUUAAUUCUUUUGUUCACAUUAUGAAAAAUCUGAGGUCUAGCUAGAAUGGCUCAGAAAUUCUCUGCGUUGUCAAGACCUGCGGCGUCUGUCUGAUAGCCUCUUCCCACAGGUUGCUGCUGUGAGUGUUCUCCAAGGUAGGUGUAACCUAGAAUCAUAUGCACUGGAAGCUCCCUGGCACAGAGGUGACUUCCAAGUCUUUCACUCUGGGUCAGUGAGAAACAGCUGAGAGCAAGGUGUUGGGGAGAAGAGGGUUCAAGCUCUUUGCAAACAUCUCACACCUCCCCAAGACCUUGGGUAGGUAGCAUUUGAAAGAUGGAUGGCCCUAGCUUCUCCUUUUAGAUUCCAAAUUUGACAAUGGUCAAAUCCCUCGCUUUAGGGUCAUCUUUGAUCAAGACCAAGUCUGCAAUCUCCAUCCUGGUUAUACCUCUGAAGUCAAAUUCUCACUGUAAUAUUUGUCACGGGUUACCAUACCCAUUGUCUGCUACAAACAGUUACUGUUGGAAUCUAAAUUGGAGUGCUGCUGCCGCCGCCGCUAUUGUGGGUUUUCCUUCCAGUCUGACCCAGUCCUCAGCUCUGUACAGCAGGGCACUCUCUGUUGCCCUCUGAGCCCUGCUGGCCUCAUCUCCUUCACCUCAAGAACUGCAGCAUCCUCCCCACUCACUCUCUCUUCUCACACUCCCAGCUAGGAAGGGACUGCUUGGGUUUCCAUAAAGCGUGUUAUUUGUUCAGCCACAACGAGGCAGUGCUCAGUCCAGGCAGGGACAGGCAGGGAGCAGACAGUUGUCAGUGCUGCUGGACCGGGGAGGCAGAGAAGUGUGGCGGGGUGCUGAGGUGUCAGCCUCCAGGAACCUCAAAACUCCUCUGCUGCCCAAGUGGGAGGGAGUCUCUGGGUUUCCCCUUACUGGCCCCAUUUUCUUAGAAUAUUUCUCACCUCCUCUCACUGUCAGCUACUGGAAAGAACCCUCAAAGGAAACUCAGGGAGACAUGUCCAUGCCACAAAUGUGGGCUCCCACUCUGCCACAUUCGUUUCUUCAUUUCUAAGAGCAGGAAGACUAUACCCUGUAACUUCUUCCUUGACACAGUGCAGCCGUGAACGUAUGUACAGACUACUAAGCUCUCAGAGGAAAGAUGCUAUGAAUAUUUUAGGGGACAGUACUACUAUAAAACAAAAAAAAAUCUGUUUUACACCAAGGUGAAAGGUUUUCCUAUCACAAAGCCUCUCCAGCAAUGUGGAUUUUUUUUUUUUUUACAAUUUUUAUUUUAUUUUUAUUCAAUGUGGAUUUUUCUUUUAAAAACAUUAAACUCAGCAAAUACUAAUAGUUUCAACUUUAUUUUGUUUUCAGCAUGCCCUCAUAGAAAGCAAUUUCUCCAUGCUGUGUGAAAAUUAAAGGGUCGUAAUUGUGAAAAGCUUACACACUCUCAGGUGGGCUCAUGGUGCAAAAACACAUGUGCAAGUUUCCUCACUGGGGUCACACUGCUGUCCCCUUCUGACAGCUUUCUCUGUGCCUGUUCUGAUUGAUCUAGGGUACCACACCCAUAUCACUUCUUUUUUGGGGGGUAAAUAAAAGGAAGACCUCAUUGACAUCAAAGAAAAGCUGCUAUGUCAAGUGCCCCAACCCCUCCACUAAUGCUGAAGAAAUAAAAAAUUAAAAAAAAAAAACCCAAACAAACCUGUGACUGAUGUUCUCUGGAGUAUCGUUAAGUAUAAACACUACUAUGGCAAAUGUCAUACAGAAUGUCAACAGACAAGUGCCCAGGUCCCAUGUAGCCAGGAGAAGGUGGCUCAUGCCAGGUCAGAGCUUAGAUAAUCUUGGUGUCAGGCCUUGUGUCACCGAUGCGCCCUGUGUGUUGUCAUAGCCAUAUCAUGGUGCCAUGCAAAUGGGUGUAAGUCCAUUCACUGGAGGACAGUGCGUCUGCCCGAAAACCAGCAGAAUACGGCCAUGCAUUCUGCUUAGUCAGACACUUUUAAAUACUAAUAUAUGAUCCAACAUUACGUGUGUGUGUGUGUGUGUGUGUGUGUGUGUGUGUGUGUGUGUCAGGGCCAAGCACUGGAUGGCUUCAGAGUCCCUAAUCAGCCUGUCCACCUCCCUCUUUGAUACCAUGCCACUUCACAAAAGCAGUUGGGCCACAGUCAUCUCUCUUCUCUUUUCUUUUCCUUCUUGUUAUUAUGAUCCAAUCUUCCUUUUUGAUCUCACCGUUUUCAUCAGUUUUUGUAAAAGGCAAUGAGCAUAACAAUACAUGUUUGGUAAAAACAGUUCUUUGUUGCUAUAUUGAAUCAUUUGGUUUUUUUUAAAAACAACAACAAAAAAAAACAAAACAACAACAAAAACAACCAAAACCAAACAAGCACCCCUCCCCCGGGGGAAAAAAAAAAAGACACAACCUUCCCUCUGCUUGAUGCCAUAGACAAGAGUCCAAAGGACAUUAGCUGCUCGGUUGCACACAUUGGAGGGAGAGAUUGCUGCGGGCUCUGUCUCCCUAAUAGACUGGCGAUUUUGUAAAAGAUUUUAGAGGGUUUUGUUUAACCAUUUCUGCAUGUGUUUUUAAUGAGCUCAUGAUUAGUAGCAAAGGCCAGGUUGUGGGGUUUGCAGCCUUUUUUUCGGACCCGAUCCCUUCCCGCUGACCUGCCGAGUGGGCACCUGUGCUCUCUGCCUGGCUCACCUAUGGGAGUCAAGGUGGUGGGGCCAUCUCCGGGCCUGUCUUCUUGCCAGGGAUGAAUCAUGCAGUAGGCAGAGCGGAAGGAGUCUCUUUGUUGACAGCUUUCCAUCUGGACUUUGGAUACGGCUGGCCGUUCAUGGAGAGCCUGGGUUAGCUGGAAAGGACUGCUCUGCUCUAGUCAGCUCCUCCAUGAAGGCCCCAGGCCGAGUAAGACACCAGCGAAGGAGCUGCCCAGCAUUUCAGCUACAAAGCAGAGAAGUAGCCCUCCCAGGUCCAGGUCCCCAGGUUUGUGAAUGUGCACAACUCCCGCUUCGACAAGUGGGUAUUUAAUAGUCAAUAGGAUCAUUUACAGCCUCAUUCAAAUAAUCCGACUGGAGUACACCUGAAUAAAUACACCAAGCUCAGGUGGUUGAGCGCUAACCCCUUGGAGUUUAAUAAUUAAAAUAAACAGACCUAUUGAGAUGAAUUCCAGUCUUUUCAUGUAUAAAUGUAAGAUGCUCCACACAGGUUGGUGUUUAUGGUUCACACCGGAAUAUGAUGGAUAGAUUAUACGUGUUCCAUAGCUACUUAAGAAAAGAAGAGAUUAUCUUAGCCAUGGGGUAAAGUUAUGUGAUACCAUCCAGUCUGAUUCUGGGCCAGUACAGAGUCCCCCCCCCCCCCCAUCUUUCUGUCUUUCUUCUCUUUUCUUUUUUUCUUUUCUUUUCUUUUCUUUUCUUUUCUUUCUUUCUUUCCUUUUUUUUUUUUUUGUGAAAGAUUACUUCUUGGCAAACUAGAUAUGCAAACGCCAGAAUACAGUAAAACCACAUUUAAUUGGACCUACUUGCCAACUCCUUGAACACAGCUUGGAUUAUCCCACUGGAGGCUGCUUCUGUUAAAAGC
rnacentral:lncRNA from 1 species